rnacentral:rRNA from 1 species
AAGUUAAGCUCUCUAGCGCUGAUGGUACUUGGUGGGAAACUGCCUGGGAGAGUAGGACGUAGCCACGUAAUUUUUUUUAUUUAUUAAGUUUCUUAUUUUAAGGUACUAUUUUUAAA